GCGAGCGAACCGGGAAGAGCUCAAAUUUGUAAUCUGGCGCCCCUCGGGCUCAGAGUUGUAAUCUACAGAGGCGUUUUCCGUGCCGGCCCGUGCCCAACUUUGCUUGGAACAGUGAGAUCAAAGAGGGUGAAAAUCCCGUACUUGACACGACCGCCGGUGCUAUGUGAUACGUCUUCUAAGAGUCGAGUUGUUUGGGAAUGCAGCUCAAAACGGGUGGUAAAUUCCAUCUAAGGCUAAAUAUUGGCGAGAGACCGAUAGCGAACAAGUACCGUGAGGGAAAGAUGAAAAGCACUUUGGAAAGAGAGUUAAACAGCACGUGAAAUUGUUGAAAGGGAAACGAUUGAAGUCAGUCGUGUCCGAGGGGUUCAGCCGGUCCUGCCGGUGCAUUCCUCUCGGACGGGUCAACAUCGGUUUUGUCCGGCGGACAAGGGCAUGGGGAAAGUGGCACCUUUGGGUGUGUUAUAGCCCCGUGUCGCAUACGUCGGACGAGACCGAGGAACGCAGCUCGCCUCACGGCCGGGGUCGCCCACGUACG
rnacentral:rRNA from 1 species